rnacentral:rRNA from 1 species
AGCGAACGCUGGCGGCAUGCCUAACACAUGCAAGUCGCACGGGGGGGCUUCGGCCUCCCAGUGGCGGACGGGUGAGGAACGCGUAGGGACCUGUCGAGGGGUGGGGGAUAACCGCGGGAAACUGCGGCUAAUACCGCAUGACGCCGCGGCGUGACAGCCGGGGCCAAAGGCGAAAGCCGCCCGCCGAGGGGCCUGCGUCCGAUUAGCUGGUUGGCGGGGUAGCGGCCCACCAAGGCGUCGAGCGGUAGCUGGUCUGAGAGGGUGAUCAGCCACACCGGGACUGAGACACGGCCCGGACUCCUACGGGAGGCAGCAGUGGGGAAUAUUGGACCAUGGGCGCAAGCCUGAUCCAGCAAUGCCGCGUGGGUGAAGAAGGUCUUCGGAUUGUAAAGCCCUUUCGGCGGGGACGAUGGUGACGGUACCCGCAGAAGAAGCCCCGGCUAACUUCGUG